rnacentral:rRNA from 1 species
AGACCCGAAACCCGGUGAUCUAGCCAUGGGCAGGUUGAAGGUUGGGUAACACUAACUGGAGGACCGAACCGACUAAUGUUGAAAAAUUAGCGGAUGACCUGUGGCUGGGGGUGAAAGGCCAAUCAAACCGGGAGAUAGCUGGUUCUCCCCGAAAGCUAUUUAGGUAGCGCCUCGUGAAUUCAUCUCCGGGGGUAGAGCACUGUUUCGGCUAGGGGGCCAUCCCGGCUUACCAACCCGAUGCAAACUGCGAAUACCGGAGAAUGUUAUCACGGGAGACACACGGCGGGUGCUAACGUCCGUCGUGAAGAGGGAAACAACCCAGACCGCCAGCUAAGGUCCCAAAGUCAUGGUUAAGUGGGAAACGAUGUGGGAAGGCCCAGACAGCCAGGAUGUUGGCUUAGAAGCAGCCAUCAUUUAAAGAAAGCGUAAUAGCUCACUGGUCGAGUCGGCCUGCGCGGAAGAUGUAACGGGGCUAAACCAUGCACCGAAGCUGCGGCAGCGAACGUAUCACCCAAGACAACUUUACGGAGUUGACGAUU